CUAGCUCGCCAUGGCUAUCUCAAAAGCAGGGACAACCCUAGUUAGUAUUUGAAUGGGAGACCACAAGGAAAUUGCAGAGCUGUAGGUUAGA
rnacentral:rRNA from 1 species